UGGGGAAUAUUGCGCAAUGGGCGAAAGCCUGACGCAGCGACGCCGCGUGGGGGAGGAAGGCCUUAGGGUCGUAAACCCCUGUCAGAUGGGACGAACCGUAGAUCGGCGAAUACCUGAUCUGCCUGACGGUACCAUCAGAGGAAGCUACGGCUAACUCCGUGCCAGCAGCCGCGGUAAUACGGAGGGAGCGAGCGUUGUUCGGAAUUACUGGGCGUAAAGCGUGCGCAGGCGGUCGCGCAAGUCAGGUGUGAAAGCCCCGGGCUUAACUUGGGAAUUGCAUUUGAAACUACGUGACUGGAGUGUGGCAGAGGGAGGUGGAAUUCCACGUGUAGCGGUGAAAUGCGUAGAGAUGUGGAGGAACACCGAUGGCGAAGGCAGCCUCCUGGGCCAACACUGACGCUCAUGCACGAAAGCGUGGGGAGCAA
rnacentral:rRNA from 1 species